GCGCAUCUACUACUCCGCAGGUAGCGUGCUUGGGCGAGAGUAGUACUAGGAUGGGUGACCUCCUGGGAAGUCCUCGUGUUGCAUUCCC
rnacentral:rRNA from 1 species